GACCGACGUUAUGGUGGCUGUGUACAGCGGCGACCACAAGUUCUUCGAUGCUGGGCUUUCAUGUUUCUUCGUGAGCAUCAGGACAAAGAAGUCGGAGGAAGCAUAGUUCUAACAUUGCUGUCAAGUGUCAAGUUUUGCAUUAAUGAAGCCCUUUAUGCUGCUCCUAUUUGUAUGUGUGUAUGAUGUAGCAGAACCUGGCUCAUGUGAUUGUACACUUGUGGAGCUUGUUAUCUGAUUGUAAACUUGAUGCUGAUCACAUUUGUAUGUGUGUUAUAUGAUGUAGCACUUUGAUGGUUGA